rnacentral:misc_RNA from 1 species
GGAAGUAAAAGUCGAACAAGGUUUCCGUAGGUGAACCUGCGGAAGGAUCAUUACUGAGUGAGGGCCCCUCGGGGUCCAACCUCCCACCCGUGUUUAACGUACCUUGUUGCUUCGGCGGGCCCGCCUCACGGCCGCCGGGGGGCACCCGCCCCCGGGCCCGCGCCCGCCGAAGCCACCUGUGAACGCUGUCUGAAGUAUGCAGUCUGAGACAAUUAUUAAAUUAAUUAAAACUUUCAACAACGGAUCUCUUGGUUCCG